rnacentral:rRNA from 1 species
ACUCAAAUGAAUUGACGGGGGCCCGCACAAGCAGCGGAGCGUGUGGUUUAAUUCGACGCAACGCGCAGCACCUCACCCAGAUUUGACAUGGGGCUGCAAGCUGUGGAAACACAGCCGCCUACGAGGGCGCCCCACAGAUGCUGCAUGGCUGUCGUCAGCUCGUGUCGUGAGAUGUUGGGUUCAGUCCCGCAACGAGCGCAACCCUCGUCCGUAGUUAUCAGCGUGUCUACGGAGACAGCCCGCAGGAAUGCGGGAGGAAGGCGGGGAUGACGUCAAGUCCGCAUGGCUCUUACAUCUGGGGCGACACACACGCUACAAUGGCCGGCACAACGCGCGGCGACCUGGCGACAGGAGGCAAAUCGCCAAAGCCGGUCUCAGUGCAGAUCGGGGGCUGCAACUCGCCCCCGUGAAGGCGGAGUUGCUAGUAACCGCGUAUCAGCAUGGCGCGGUGAAUACGUACCCGGGCCUUGUACACACCGCCCGU